rnacentral:tRNA from 1 species
GCCGACGUAGCUCAACGGUAGAGCAAUCGCCUUGUAAGCGAUAGGUUGUGGGUUCGAUCCCCUCCGUCGGCUCCA